rnacentral:hammerhead_ribozyme from 1 species
AUCCAGCUGACGAGUUCCAAAUAGGACGAAACAUGCGUCCUGGAU